UGUAUAUAACCAUAGACUAUAGAACUUUUUUCUUAUAUCACAAGCUGGAUACACACAACAGUCUUUUCCAAGCGUAAACGCAUUUUCUCCCGCAAAAGAUUUACGGAACAAUAUUACUCGACACAAAUCUGAUGUUCCAGCAAAAGACGACCCAGUGACCGAAAAUUGAUCCACUUUCAUUAUUCCACAUCCUCGUUACCAUGAUAUAGCACUUCUACACCAACUUUCUAGAAUCGACAGUCUUCGUAACUAUCGAAGGAUAGCGCUUUAUUCGACCCAUGUGAUCGUCGAUCAGAUCCUAUUGGCCGGAUCCUUCACUUACACAAACGUGUGUACAUGGUGUCACGCGUAUCGUACGUGAACAGAGAGAACGUCAAUGACGACAUGGAGAGCAUGUAUCGAUAACGUUUCCGAGCGUAUGCAGGUUAAGUUUCGCCCACGAAAAGUGGUCAUUGUACCGGACGAUCCCAUUCGAUAUGCAUAGAACGUUUGCAGUGGAUACCCAGUGAGGAUGGCCACUGAUAGCAACUCUCUGAACGUUGCAUAAAUGUCCGGAAGAUGUUAUUGACUGGGGGAUAUUGCACGCGAGAGCUCGAUAUCGCGUACUCUCCGAUAUCGAUAGUCUCUUCUUUGCGAAACUGAUGUUUCGAAUGGUGUGAGAUAGGCAAUCACUGAUUCGUUCUCUUUGUUUCAGAUUAAAAUUCUUUGCGGGAAUAAAAGAAAGAUAGCGGAAAAUAGAAUAGAGAAUCAAAUAAGAAUUAAAUAUUUACAUAUAUUCUUAACUAGGGAUAUCGAAGAACUAUCGAUAAUCAGCGAUACUUGUUUGAAUAUCGACUUCCAUCUCGACCCGAAUAUUCAAAUACCGAAUAUUCAGUUCAACACACGUUAUCCGAGCAUUCGAUGUCAGCACACAGGUCUGUACUCAAUGGGAGAAGGGUUAACACCGGAAGAACAAGUUCUCCCUAUUCCAAUCUCUUUGCCUACCGUCACACAUCCAUGUCGGUUCAAAGACGAUCGAUUCUAUCGCUUUAAAGGGAUAAAGCUUAUGAACAACAGUGAGAAGGUCUCGUCGUAACCCUUUUCAUUCUCUCGUGUCGAAAAGCGUGAGUUUCCAAGACGUUUUCCACAUCUAGAAACACGAAGCUAGAUCGGAGCCAACGAUCAAGAAGAAACUGGCACGAGUCUUGGGACAUAAUUCUCGUCCCAGUAUACCCUUUUGCGGUGACAGCGAGGAGAGAAGGUGGGGAAUACGUCGGAACCCGAUCAGAAAUCGGAAUCCCGUGGAAAGGAGGUUCCAUUAGCGAGAACGGAUUUCGAGGAAAGGAUUUCUCUGAAUCCUCGCCGUUCUAUUAAUGUCACAUCCAUCGCCGUCGGGGACUGGCGAAAAGAGGAAUAAAGGGAGGAAGAGUUGGAAAAGAAGAAAGAGUGAAACGUGGAUUUUCAUCUUAUGCUGCUUGUAUCGAUGAUACUAUGAAAACCUUGUGUUCAAUUAUGUCUUUUCUUCGAAGGUACACGGUUGAAUAUGGGCAUUGUGCGAAGAUGACUUGGCUAGGAAGAAAUAUGUGAUUAUGAUUAGUUGAUCCUGAUAUAUUUAUGAUUAUAGAUAUCAAUAUUCAGGUAUAUUGGUUAAAUUAUGUUUAUUGAUGAGAUUAUAUAA